rnacentral:rRNA from 1 species
UAGGGAAUCUUCGGCAAUGGGGGGAACCCUGACCGAGCAACGCCGCGUGAGUGAAGAAGGUUUUCGGAUCGUAAAGCUCUGUUGUUAAGGAAGAACGAGUGUGAGAAUGGAAAGUUCAUACUGUGACGGUACUUAACCAGAAAGGGACGGCUAACUACGUGCCAGCAGCCGCGGUAAUACGUAGGUCCCGAGCGUUGUCCGGAUUUAUUGGGCGUAAAGCGAGCGCAGGCGGUUAGAUAAGUCUGAAGUUAAAGGCAGUGGCUCAACCAUUGUAGGCUUUGAAAACUGUUUAACUUGAGUGCAGAAGGGGAGAGUGGAAUUCCAUGUGUAGCGGUGAAAUGCGUGGAUAUAUGGAGGAACACCGGUGGCGAAAGCGGCUCUCUGGUCUGUAACUGACGCUGAGGCUCGAAAGCGUGGGGAGCGAACAGG